UGAACUUGUGGGAAGAGUACUUGAUCUAAAGUCUAAGUCGUUAACGGAUAUGAUAUGGAAAGGUUGAGCUGUUGUUUAUCUGUUCCUAGAGAUACUAGAAUUCUAGAGAAUUUUAUCUUUGAAAAUCUUUAAAAUAACACAUGAUGAGUUCCUGUAUGAUGAGAGUUUAAAUUCCUACCACAGCCAUAUAUACAUGCUCGCU
rnacentral:lncRNA from 1 species